GGGAUGUUCUCUGAGGGUCCGCUGUUGGGGUUUUGUAAAGUUCAUCUCUGACGAUUAUACUGAAGAGAUGUACAUAACGCAGAAGAUGCAGUGAGUUUAUUGAUGGUUUCUGUGCUUGGCCAAGUUACAGUGCCGUCAUCCAGCCUUCAAGCAUGGUUCAGAAGCCAUGAACCACAAAUCAGCAUGUUUCCUUCCAGUUUCCAAUGAGCACUCUGACAGCAUCACUUAGCAUGCCAGUAUUCAACAUUGUGCAGAUCAUCUCUGUAAAGAUGGCUGUGUUGCUUCAGUUGCCACAUCUCUACGUAUGUUCUUCCUGUUAGCAAAGGCACACUGUGACAGCAUAUACUUUCUACAUGCUAAUACAUGCACAGUAUUGUUCAGGGAAAGACAUAUGCAAACCUAUCAGCUUCCAAAGUCGGCAACAUCCUGCUGUCACUACAGUCUCAGCACCUACCAGCUCCCACUCUGUCAGCAACAUCCUGCUGUCACAUGUCCAGCUACUGGUACUUGAAGUUACUGUGUGCUUGUACAUUCUCAGCACCUACUAGCUCUCACUCUGUCAGCAACAUCCUGCUGUCACAUGUCCAGCUAUUGGUACUCGGAGUUACUAUUUGCUUGUACUUUCUCAGCACCUACCAGCUCCCACUCUGUCAGCAACAUCCUGUCCAGCUACCGGCACUUGGAGUUAUUGUGUGCUUGUACAUUCUCAGCACCUACUAGUUCCCACUCUGUCAGCAACAUCCUGCUGUCACACCUCCAGAUAUGUGGAGUUAUUGUGCUUUUACAGUCUCAGCCAGUAUUGGAUUGCAAGUUGUCUUAUGCUGCUACAACCUACACAUUUAGCAUUCUCUUGAACCUUGAGGAACCACCAUAUGAACAAAGAGACUCUGAAACACUCAUAAUAAACCUGUCACGGUGGUUUGUUGAACAUUCGUAUUAUUUGGAGGACUUGCAAUUAGCUCAUAUAGUCAACUAGCUAUUCCAGUCCUCUGGAAGAGUUAGUUGGCUGCUUGAGGUUAUUCUAUACUAGUAGCAUGCCUUUUUUGUGCACGGUCAAGAGUAGAUCGAGAAAGCAGUUGUUUUUAAGGGCAAAACAAUUGUUCUUGUUCCUUGAAAAAGUUGGUCAAAACAUUUUCCCAACCAAUUUUUUUAUUUAAACAGUAAGAUAAAGGGCAACAAGGACUGUUUAAUGCCAUUUCUACUUGGUAGAAAAACAAUUCAAUGCUAAUUUUUAUCCAAGAUAUUCAAAGCUUUGGUGUUAUUGGCAAAGAGAGUACCCACAAGAGUGGUUGUGACAUGUACAUGCAAUACUGUUUGCAAUGAUUAUGCUAUUAUUAUGAUAAAAAUCGUGCAAAGUACGGCGUUAAAAUGGGCUUUCUCCUUGUACAUAGCACAAUACAUAAGUGAUUGUGAUCAUAAAUGUAUUGAAUUACAUAAAAUAUGAUUGUGGAUAAAUAUUUGGUAAUUUUGGGGAGGGGUGAGUGUAGGGGGGGGGGGAGGGAGGGAGCAUAUUAAUGCCCGUGCAUACUUUGUCUGAUUGCUAUGAAAAUGUGAUAUUAUCAAGCAUUGGCUGAUUCAUGUUCGCACCAAGUAUGCCAGUGUCAUGGUCUCACUUAUCAGGUGUGCGCACUUCUCCAAAAGGGACAUUUAACUUCAAUACGCACGUGCAAAAUUGUGCUGCGGCUGUACAUUAUCGCCAACCUUAUUGCGUGUGCUCACUGCACUGUGUUUGUGAAGAAGUGAGCACAUUAUAAGUAAGACUGUGACACUGGCUAAGCUAUGAAUUGCUACCGAGAUAAUUGCCUACUUUUGCGUCAUUUCGUCUAUGUUAAUUUAAGUAUUUGUUUACAAUAUCAUUUAUAGAUUAAACUCAUUAAAGAGACACUGCAGCCUGGCAAAUGCGCAAUUGGGCUACAAAAUGCAUUUUGAGUCGAAUGGUGUUAAGUGCUUGGGAUAUAAACAACUACACAAACAUCCAUUGAAAAUCACCUGGGGGGGGGGCACUUUUGCAACCCUCAAAAUAUGUGUGUUCAGUGCUGGUUGAGAUUCCAGCUGUAAACGUUUCACCCUCUGCGCACAUCAACCGGAUGUUUCAAGCAAGAUAUCGUAAACAAUGCAAAACAUGACAUUUUCAAGGAUUUCAGGGAACAAUAAUUUAUGGAAUUUUGAGGAAACAUUUUUGCUAUUUUGUUUGGUAGAAUACUAUUGUUUUAUAUUAAAGAAAAUGCUUUCAUACAAAUAAAAAAAUUAUACAAA
rnacentral:lncRNA from 1 species